UGGGUUUGACAUCCUCUGACCGCCCCGGAAACGGGGUCUUUCCGACUCUGUCGGAACAGAGUGACAGGUGCUGCAUGGCUGUCGUCAGCUCGUGUCGUGAGAUGUUGGGUUAAGUCCCGCAACGAGCGUAACCCUUGUCUUUAGUUGCCAAUAUUAAGUUAGGCACUCUAAAGAGACUGCCUCGGUUAACGGGGAGGAAGGUGGGGAUGACGUCAAGUCCUCAUGGCCUUUAUACCCAGGGUUACACACGUGCUACAAUGGGCUGUACAAAGGGUUGCCACUCCGCGAGGAGGCGCUAAUCCCAAAAAGCAGUCCUCAGUUCGGAUUGGAGUCUGCAACUCGACUCCAUGAAGG
rnacentral:rRNA from 1 species